GACGAACGCUGGCGGCGUGCUUAACACAUGCAAGUCGAGCGAGGCCCUUCCUUCGGGAAGGAGCCCUAGCGGCGAACGGGUGAGUAACACGUGGGCAACCUGCCCCUAGCACUGGGAUAACUCCGGGAAACCGGGGCUAAUACCGGAUAUGACCUUUGAGGGCAUCCUCUUUGGUGUAAAGGAUUCUGGCUAGGGAUGGGCCCGCGGCCUAUCAGCUUGUUGGUGGGGUAACGGCCUACCAAGGCGACGACGGGUAGCCGGCCUGAGAGGGCGACCGGCCACACUGGGACUGAGACACGGCCCAGACUCCUACGGAGGCAGCAGUGGGGAAUAUUGCACAAUGGGCGAAAGCCUGAUGCAGCGACGCCGCGUGAGGGAUGACUGCCUUCGGGUUGUAAACCUCUUUCUAGCAGGGACGAAGCGAAAGUGACGGUACCUGCAGAAGAAGCACCGGCCAACUACGUGCCAGCAGCCGCCGCCGU
rnacentral:rRNA from 1 species